UACAGAGACCUCAAGCAUUAUCCGGAUUUAUUGGGCGUAAAGGGCGCGUAGGCGGAGAUAUAAGUCAGAUGUGAAAUCCUGGGGCUCAACCUCAGAACUGCAUUUGAAACUGUAUCCCUAGAGGAUAGGAGGAGAAAACGGAAUUCCACAAGUAGCGGUGAAAUGCGUAGAUAUGCGGAAGAACACCGGUGGCGAAGACGGUUUUCUAUCUUAUUCCUGACGCUGAAGCGCGAAAGCAAGGGGAUCAAAC
rnacentral:rRNA from 1 species